rnacentral:rRNA from 1 species
GGACGGGUGAGUAAUACAUCGGAAUGUACUCAGUCGUGGGGGAUCGCGUAGCGAAAGUUACGCUAAUUCCGCAUACGAUCUUCGGGUGAAAGCAGGGGAUCUUCGGACCUUGCGCGAUUGAAUGAGCCGAUGUCAGAUUAGAUAGUUGGCGGGGUAAAGGCUCACCAAGGCGACGAUCUGUAGCUGGUCUGAGAGGAUGAUCAGCCACACUGGAACUGAGACACGGUCCAGACUCCUACGGGAGGCAGCACUGGGGAAUUUUGGACAAUGGGCGCAAGCCUGAUCCAGCAAUACCGCGUGGGGAAGAAGGCCUUCGGGUUGUAAAGCCCUUUUGUUGGGAAAGAAAUCGCAGCUGGUUAAUACCCGGUUGGGAUGACGGUACCCAAAGAAUAAGCACCGGCUAACUUCGUGCCAGCAGCCGCGGUAAUACGAAGGGUGCAAGCGUUACUCGGAAUUACUGGGCGUAAAGCGUGCGUAGGCGGUCGUUUAAGUCCGUUGUGAAAGCCCUGGGCUCAACCUGGGAACUGCAGUGGAUACUGGGCGACUAGAGUGUGGUAGAGGGUAGCGGAAUUCCUGGUGUAGCAGUGAAAUGCGUAGAGAUCAGGAGGAAC